GGUUCGCCUACAGAUAAUCCCCCGCCGCGACUCUAAAGAACGUGCUGAUCAGUCGCCCUGACAGGGCCGGCGACGUGUUCAGUCUGCGCUGGAAGCCUUUGCGUAACCAGCAGCCUCCUGAGGAGGUUCACAGAUCAAAUGAGCGCGGCCACUGCUCGUGGUUCCGAUAUGACCGACCUCGGCUCUCGCGAGCUGGAGACAGAGUGGAACCUGCGGAAGGAUCAUUACUGAGAGGAGCUUCGUGCUCCAGGGGGCUCCGGCCCCCG
rnacentral:rRNA from 1 species